rnacentral:rRNA from 1 species
CCUACGGGGGGCAGCAGUGGGGGAUAUUGCACAAUGGGGGAAACCCUGAUGCAGCGACGCCGCGUGAGUGAAGAAGUAUUUCGGUAUGUAAAGCUCUAUCAGCAGGGAAGAAAAAAGACGGUACCUGACUAAGAAGCCCCGGCUAACUACGUGCCAGCAGCCGCGGUAAUACGUAGGGGGCAAGCGUUAUCCGGAUUUACUGGGUGUAAAGGGAGCGUAGACGGCAAUACAAGUCGGAAGUGAAAUACCCGGGCUCAACCUGGGAACUGCUUUGGAAACUGUAUGGCUGGAGUGCUGGAGAGGUA